GACGAACGCUGGCGGCGUGCCUAAUACAUGCAAGUCGAGCGAACGGACGAGGAGCUUGUUUUUCUGAUGUUAGCGGCGGACGGGUGAGUAACACGUGGAUAAUCUACCUAUAAGACUGGGAUAACUUCGGGAAACCGGAGCUAAUACCGGAUAAUAUUUUGAACCGCAUGGUUCAAAAGUGAAAGACGGUCUUGCUGUCACUAAUAGAUGGAUCCGCGCUGCAUUAGCGGGUUGGUAAGGUAACGGCUUACCAAGGCAACGAUGCAUAGCCGACCUGAGAGGGGGAUCGGCCACUGUGGAAGUGAGACGCGGCCCAGACCCCGAGGGGAGGCAGCAGGAGGGAAUCUUGCGAAAUGGGCGAAAGCCUGACGGAGAAGCGGCGCGUGAGUGAAGAAGGUCCGCGGAUCGUAAAACGGUGUUAUGAGGGAAGAACAUAUGUGUAAGUAACGGUGCACAUCUGAAGGUAACCUAAUCAGAAGGCCAGGCUAACUACGUG
rnacentral:rRNA from 1 species